GGAAGGAUCAUUCACACUUACUUUUGGCCGAUCAACCAUGAACCUGUCGCCUUUCGGCCUCUCUUUUCACAGCGUAUCGAUUGAUGCGUGGCGGUUUUCGUGACGCGCCAGGUGAUAGAGGCGGAUUGGUUACUACUGUGGCAGAGUGAAGAUUUGAAGGAACAAUUUUUCUUAUUAAUUUCAGCGAUGGACGUCUUGGUUCCCUAAUCGAUGAAGGACGCAGUGAAUUGCGAUAAGCAGUGCGAAUUGCAGAAAUCUGUGAAUCAUCAGACCUCUGAACGCAAAUUGGGUGGUAAACUUUAUCUAAGGCUAAAUAUUCUGUGGGAAACCGAUAGCAAAUAAGUACCUUGAGGGAAAGAUGAAAAGGACUUUGAAAAGAGAGUUAAAAUUCCCCGAAAUUGCUGAAAUGGAAGCGGUUGAAACUCAUCGAGUGUACCUUGGGAGUUUAGGAAUGCUGCGACAGAACUGACAUCGCAAUCACAAUCGGUUUGCGGUGUUAGCGUUGUUGUGGCGCUCUGAUUCUCGCGAGUGGAUUCAGCUGUGGUUUUGGUGCCAUUAACUGAGUGUUAUAACGGGCGUGUCUUUCGAGGCCGUUGCGGUUUUAACCCCCUAUUAGGUGGCAGAGAUCAAGGGAAUCACAUUGCUGGCACAGCUUCGGCGUCCAGCAGGGUGGCAGCUGAUAUACAGUUUUUACCGACCCGUCUUGAAACACGGAUCAAGGAGUCCAACAGAUAUGCGGGUCCGGGGGCGGCAAACCCACGGGCAGAAUGAAAGUAACAGUUCCUAGCCGGAACAACCGACCACAAUCUCUGAGAGAGGUUUGAGUAGGAGCAUAUCUGUUGGGACCCGAAAGAUGGUGAACUAUUCCUGAAUAGGGUGAAGCCAGGGGAAACCCUGGUGGAGGCUCGUAGCGAUACUGACGUGCAAAUCGUUCGUCAAAUUUGGGUAUAGGGGCGAAAGACUAAUCGAACCAUCUAGUAGCUGGUUCCCUC
rnacentral:misc_RNA from 1 species